ACCUUAAUAGCAAAGUGGUAAUGCUGGGGUCCUAAGAACCUCAAUAAAAAGUUCAACUCUUUUUUAAGGUG
rnacentral:tRNA from 1 species